UAGCUACAUAUUGCAUUAGAUACC
rnacentral:siRNA from 1 species